rnacentral:rRNA from 1 species
AAAGGUGAAAUUAGAUUAUUUUUAUUAAACUUUUUACUUAAAUUGAAGCUGUAAAAUUUUUAGAUUUAAACUAGGAUUAGAUACCCUAUUAUACUGAAAUUUAAUAAAAUAUAGCCAGAUUAUUAAUAGAUAUAUUCUUUAAAUUUAAAGAAUUUGGCGGUGGUUUAGUCUUGUCAGAGGAACCUGUUAUACAUUGAAUCGAUACUCCACGAAGAAUCUUGCUUGAGUUUAUAUACCAUCAUUAACAGAUAAUUUUAAGAGAAUAAAUUAUUAAAUUUUAGUAGAUUAAAUAAAAUUAGAUCAAGGUGUAGCUUAUAAACAAGCUAAAAUGGGUUACAAUAAAAUUUAUUUAUAACGAAAUAGUUACUAAGAAGGAGGAUUUGAUUGUAUGAAAGUUUAAUAUGCUUGAAAGAUAUAAGCUCUAAAUCAUGUACAUAUCGCCCGUCGCUUUC